UCUCCUGUAACACAACAAUCCUCAGUUAUAUCAAUGAAUGUAUUAGAAGCAAAUAGAAAAAUAUAUAUAUCUAUGUGAAAGGCCAGCAUGAGUCAAGUUAAGUUUGCUAUUGUUUAUUGUUUUCGUUCAGAGACCUUAUCAUAAUUAUCUUAAACACACAGACAGUGAUUUCUCUUCAUUUGUAAAUUUGCACAGAUGACUCCUCCCUGAUCUACCAAUAAAGCAAUUUAAAAUAGAGGUGGCCCUACCCUUUACUAAUGAGAAAAAAAAGACUGAUCAAUAAAGCCUAUAAGGCCCAAUAAGGCUUUGUGAAGAGUGAAGCAUGCAGAGCUUUUGAAAUCAAGCAGCGUGUUUUGGGGUUUAAAAGCCACAGAGACACAGUGUUUCGAAAAAAUGCAUCUCAGCUGCUCCGAUACUCCUGACACGGGAUCACUACAGGUUUUCGCUUAGUCAGCAGUUGUCCUCUCCUGGAUCGACUGGAGCUUUCGUUAGGAGCCUUCCCAGCUUUGACAAAUUGAUGUGAUGUUCUUCUGCUUCCCUUUUUGUAUUUUCAUCACUGAGCAGUGACAAAUUUUCUCAUGAUAGUCUUUCUGGUUUAGUAAAACUGUGCACCUACCGUUGUCUGCUGGAAGGAUGAUGAUGUUGUUGUCAUUAGUAAGUGAUGUGAGUGCCUUCCUCUCCUUCAUGCUGAUGUUGGAUGCUGGGGGCUUUGCAUUGCUGAGACAGGCCGAAACUUUUGUCCGCAGUUGCUCUGCUUCCACGUCUGCAUUGUUGUUGUUUCAAAUUGCAGUUUCUGUUUCUGUGAUCAGUUCCACCUGCGGGAUUUGUCUCGGUGUGACAGCAAAAUUCAACUCUUUAGCAAAUGUAGCCGGAUGGGCUACUCGCCUUUCUUUUCUCUCUCGCUCACUCUACUGCUCUCGCUCGCUCUCGCUGCGCAACUACGUUAAUUAGGAACCCACCUGUAUAUUGAUUACAGGGUGGUGUUUACCUGUAUAAAGGGAAGCCGGUUUUUCUUGUUGGAUCAUUCCUCCCGAGCUUCUGGUGCGACACAGCAGUAAAUGCUGGCCUAUCGGUUAAUUUUACGAUCGGAUCGUGUGACUGCUACAGCGCGGCUGUUUUUCUUUCCUUUGCUCCAGCCGUGGUGAGGAGACGCGUGAGUGCAUCCGCCGUGCAGUACAGCGCCUCCAAGUUCUGGGGUAAGCCGCUUAUUUUAUAGCUGCUAGUUUUGUAAAUUAAAGAAGAUUAAGGUUAGUUUUGCCUUUUCUUAUUUGUAGGAUUUGAUUGCUGCCGCACCCUCUCAGGGAUCAACUGCCUGAUUUUAAGCGAAGAGUUGAGACGCCUGCCUAGCUGCUGUCUUGUCUUGCCUUGUUUUAUCUCGUGUUCCGAUCUGUUGGCUGUCCAGUUUUGUUCCUGCUGCUUACCUCGCCCCUGGGGGCUUUGGGUCUCACGCUAAGCCCCUUUUGGACUAUCGUUUCACUCCAGCUUUCGCGGCUGGUCGGGGCGAUCCUCAGCUGCAUAUUGGGCUGGUGUUACAAAACUGGUACUGCCUCUCCCUUUUCUCCCAGUUGUGGAGAGCUGCGCGAGACUGAGUGGGGCUACGGACAAUCGGUACCAGCACCAGCUGUGGGCUGGCUCGCAGAGUACAAGUACUUCUAAUCUGUGCUCUGUGGUGUGUAUGUGGGUGUGUUUUAUUGCAGAUCUCCAUUUUUCUUAAUUUCUUUUUUUAGUAUAUAGAGAGCCUGUUUUAUGUGUAUGUCUUGUGCUUUUAUUUCAGCGAACUGAGGAUCUACCAGCGGCCGUGGGACCUUAGGGGGCGGGUCGUUUUCCACACUUCUUUUGUUGUACAGCACCAGGUGAAUAGACUAUAGUAGGUUUUUUGUGUGGUUUUCUUUUGGUCCACCCCCGCUGGUAAGUCCCAGUUGUGUUUAUUUUUAUUGUAAUUUGGGACACCGUUUUAGACAUUCAGUGCGCUCUCAGUGUUUUGUUUUUUAUUUUACAUUAAUAAAUAAAAUUGUGUUAAUAUUUGAGUCGGCCUCAGUGUGCAUCCCUGAACCUGUGCAAAUGUUGUUGUUGUUGUUGUUUUAAUUACAUUUCAUUUUUAAAGUUCAUAUUUCCUGGGGGCUAGAAUUCCACCUCAGGUGGCGUUGUCAUUUUAUUUCUUUUAUAACCCCGCCGACCACUUGGUCACACAAAGAUGUUCUUCUCUGUUUGGGUGAGCUGUCUGUCAGACAAAUUCUUCCCCCACUUGUCCACAUCCUCCGUGUGGCGUCUUUCUCUCUUCUAGCCGCUGAGGACACGCUCCAUAUUUGGCUGUGGUAUACGCUACAUCCAGAUGAACAAAAUCAACUUUUGGGGAUUAGACAAUGCUUGUACUACUGAAAAUCACUUUAUCCAUAAAAACCACGUAAACAGACAUGAAGAAGAAUGUGUUUGUAAGACUAACAGUAACCUCUGAGAACUGUUUCUGCUAUUGAAACAGCUUGUGUUGAUAACCCUGAAUGAUUCUUGGUCACAACAUUUGAAAGGUCAUUUUACUCCACACACUUUUGCAAAAUCACAUAGUUCGAACAUAAAAUCCCAGAAUAAUUAGUAUUUGAGAUUGCUGCAGCAACAUCAUUAAAGAAAAAUAUCUUUCCAUGUCACUGUGCUUUCAUUUGAAAAUAUAAAAUGUUAAAGUUUUUAAUUUAAAACAUAGAAACAGCAAAAAUUUAAGACAUUAAAGACGCCCUGAUGAUGUCUCAAUUCAUCGGUGUUUCCAUCUGAGAGUCUACAGGGCGAACACUGAAGUUGGGUUUUAGAAAUACAAGAUGGUAACAGGACACAUGUUAACUUUGACCACACUAACGUCUAGUUUAAGGUGAGAGAAGUAAAUGCAUCACAGAAGCUAAAAGGAGCUGCUUCUGCCGACAUUAGUUCAAACAAGUGAUUUUGGGUAAGACCCAUCAGAUGGUUCACAUCAUCUAACGAGACUCAAACAGAACCUGGAAUAUUAAAGUUCACUUCCUGUCUGUGUGAUGAUUGUACUUUUAUUGCUGUGUUGUAAACUGUGUAACUUCACAUGUUGUGAAAUCUUUGAGAAAAGGAGGACAGAUAAGUCAUAAACUCCUUGAUAUGUUGACAUCAUGUCAGUAAUGCACACAGACAUAUUGUGGCGUGUUGGGGAAGCAGCUAGUUCUCUCCCAUCAUGCCUUGGGACAUGUGCUGCUGUUUACAUGUUCUUGUUUUAUUGUUUAUGGUUACGUUACUUUUAACUGUUAUCUUGAAUGUUGUGUUUAUACCGCGGUACAAAGUCACUGACAGUUAUUGUUUUAUAGAAUGAAUGCAGUACCAUAAGUGAGUUCUGUUAUGCUGUUAUUGACCUUCGAAGCACAGUGUCAAACUGGCAAGUGUAUAAUAGAGAGCUCCACCCGUCAGCUUAGGGUUAAACAAGCUCCAUCUCUGUGUGGUGCUUCUUUGUUAAGAUUUCUCUGCAUGUCACAAUGUGUUGAAAAGGUGAGCUUACCUGUUAAGGCGGUGGUUCUUAACCUUGUUGGAGGUACUGAACCCCACCAGCUUCAUAUGUGCAUUCACUGAACCCCUUUUUAGUGAAAAAUAAAAUAUGAUUUUUUUUCAAAUUCAAGACACAGAUAAGUUUUUUACUGGUGCACAAAAUGAGCUGUGCAUGUCACGGCGGAGGCUCUGCCGAACCCCUGAGACCGACUCACCGAAUCCCUAGGGUUCGAUCGAACCCAGGUUAAGAACCACUGCGUUAAGGUAUGGCCCUCCAUACAGUCUGUACACACUUUGUCAUAGAUAAUACAGAUGUGAUAAUAAAUAAAACCAUAAGUAUUAA